GUCUCUUUGGUGCAACUGGUUAGCACUUUUGACUGUUAACAGAAAGGUUGGUGGUUCGAGCCCACCUAGUGAUG
rnacentral:tRNA from 1 species